AUUGAACGCUGGCGGCAGGCCUAACACAUGCAAGUCGGACGGUAGCACAGAGAGCUUGCUCUUGGGUGACGAGUGGCGGACGGGUGAGUAAUGUCUGGGGAACGUGCCGAGGAGUGGGGGAUAACGCAGCGAAAGUUGUGCUAAUACCGCAUACGUACUGAGGUAGAAAGUGGGGGACCUUCGGGCCUCACGCUGUUCGAGCGGCCGACGUCUGAUUAGCUGGUAGGUGAGGUAAAGGCGAACCUAGGCGACGAUCAGUAGCGGGUUUGAGAGGAUGAUCCGCCACACUGGGACUGAGACACGGCCCAGACUCCUACGGGAGGCAGCAGUGGGGAAUUUUGGACAAUGGGCGAAAGCCUGAUCCAGCCAUGCCGCGUGUCUGAAGAAGGCCUUCGGGUUGUAAAGGACUUUUGUCAGGGAGGAAAUCCCUAGUGCUAAUAACACUGGGGGAUGACAGUACCUGAAGAAUAAGCACCGGCUAACUACGUGCCAGCAGCCGCAGUAA
rnacentral:rRNA from 1 species